rnacentral:rRNA from 1 species
GACGAACGCUGGCGGCGUGCUUAACACAUGCAAGUCGAACGGAAAGGCCCUGCUUUUGUGGGGUGCUCGAGUGGCGAACGGGUGAGUAACACGUGAGUAACCUGCCCUUGACUUUGGGAUAACUUCAGGAAACUGGUGCUAAUACCGGAUAGGAGCUCCUGCUGCAUGGUGGGGGUUGGAAAGUUUCGGCGGUUGGGGAUGGACUCGCGUCUUAGCAGCUUGUUGGUGGGGUAGUGGCUUACCAAGGCUUUGACGGGUAGCCGGGUUGAGAGGGUGACCAGCCACAUUGGGCCUGAGGUAGGGCCCAGACUCCUACGGGAGGCAGCAGUGGCGAAUAUUGCACAAUGGGCGGAAGCCUGAUGCAGCAACGCCGCGUGCGAGAUGACGGCAUUCGGGUUGUAAACCGCUUUCGCCUGUGACGAAGCGUGAGUGACGGUAAUGGGUAAAGAAGCACCGGCUAACUACGUG